rnacentral:lncRNA from 1 species
AUACCACACAUCACUGCUUGCAGCUUUGCCAAAUAAUGUGCAUGCGUGGAAAUCUCACUUGUCGAAAGCCCAUCGAUCAACUGAUAAAAGAAAAAUAUCCUGGAGCAACAGUGACAACACUCAGUGGUUGACCGUUGGUGCCUCAUGGGAGAUUGCUAAGAUUUUCAUGGCUCCCUUGGGACCGAGAAAGCUUAAUGUAGUCAACGCCAAAACUACUGAUAUAUCGGGACUGUUGAAUGUAUUAGAAUGGUCUCCGAGAGGGACA